UUCAGCUUUCCCACUCUGUUCUGUGCCCUGGCGGUUGGACAGCUUCAUCAGGCUGCCUCACCUGCUGGUUCUAGAUGGUCCUGGCUGCUCUGGUAAUCUUACAUCAAGUCUGUGGAAUUUUCAGAUGACUAUUCUUCAAAUGAGUAUUCUAAAAUAUUCAGAGAAUGGUUAUCAGAGUCUGUGGCUGCAUUGGAGUUGAAGAUUAUCGUAGGCAAA